rnacentral:rRNA from 1 species
ACGGGGCCCGCACAAGCGGUGGAGCAUGUGGUUUAAUCGAUGCAACGCGAAGAACCUUACCUGGGCUUGACAUCCCGAGAAUCCCCUGGAAACAGGGGAGUUGGCCCUUUCGGGGAACUCGGAGACAGGUGCUGCAUGGCUGUCGUCAGCUCGUGUCGUGAGAUGUUGGGUUAAGUCCCGCAACGAGCGCAACCCUUGUCUUUAAUUGCCAGCAUUCAGUUGGGCACUUUAAAGAGACUGCCGGUGUUAAGCCGGAGGAAGGUGGGAUGACGUCAAGUCCUCAUGGCCUUUAUGUCCAGGGCUACACACGUGCUACAAUGGGCGAUACAGAGGGAAGCAAGGCCGCAAGGUAGAGCUAAUCCCUAAAGUCGUCCUCAGUUCGGAUUGCAGGCUGCAACUCGCCUGCAUGAAGUCGGAAUCGCUAGUAAUCGCGGAUCAGCUACGCCGCGGUGAACUACGUUCUCGGGCCUU